AUAAGCAUUAUACGGCGAAACUGCGAAUGGCUCAUUAUAUAAGUUAUCGUUUAUUUGAUAGCACAUUACUACUUCGAUAACCGUGGUAAUUCUAGAGCUAAUACACGCUAAAAAUCCCGACUUCGGAAGGGACGUAUUUAUUAGAUUAAAAACCAAUGCCCUCUGGGCUCUCUGGUGAAUCAUGAUAACUGCUCGAAUCGCAGGGCCUCGUGCCGGCGAUGGUUCAUUCAAAUUUCUUCCCUAUCAACUUUCGAUGUUUGGGUAUUGGCCAAACAUGGUUACAACGGGUAACGGAGGGUUAGGGCUCGACCCCGGAGAAGGAGCCUGAGAGACGGCUACUACAUCCAAGGAAGGCAGCAGGCGCGCAAAUUACCCAAUCCCGACACGGGGAGGUAGUGACAAUAAAUACUGAUACAGGGCUCUUUCGGGUCUUGUAAUUGGAAUGAGUACAAUUUAAAUCCCUUAACGAGGAACAAUUGGAGGGCAAGUCUGUGC
rnacentral:rRNA from 2 species